CCUACGGGGUGCACCAGUAAGGAAUAUUGGUCAAUGGACGAAAGUCUGAACCAGCCAUGCCGCGUGGAGGAUGAAGGUCCUCUGGAUUGUAAACCUCUUUUAUAUGGGACGAAAAAAGGCUUUUCUAAGUCGUCUGACGGUACCAUAUGAAUAAGCACCGGCUAACUCCGUGCCAGCAGCCGCGGUAAUACGGAGGGUGCAAGCGUUAUCCGGAUUCACUGGGUUUAAAGGGUACGUAGGUGGGUUGGUAAGUCAGUGGUGAAAUCCCCGAGCUUAACUUGGGAACUGCCAUUGAUACUAUCAGUCUUGAAUACCGUGGAGGUUAGCGGAAUAUGUCAUGUAGCGGUGAAAUGCUUAGAUAUGACAUAGAACACCAAUUGCGAAGGCAGCUGGCUACACGAAUAUUGACACUGAGGCACGAAAGCGUGGGGAUCAAACAGGAUUAGAUACCCGAGUAGUC
rnacentral:rRNA from 1 species